rnacentral:tRNA from 1 species
GGCAUGCUGGCCCGGUAGAUCUUGCCGUUGUCACCGGCGAAGAACAGGUACAUGUUCGUUCCGUCACCGAUGAGUGUCU